CCUACGUGCGGCAGCAGUGAGGAAUAUUGGUCAAUGGGCGCGAGCCUGAACCAGCCAAGUAGCGUGAAGGAUGACUGCCCUACGGGUUGUAAACUUCUUUUAUAAAGGAAUAAAGUGAGGCACGUGUGCCUUUUUGUAUGUACUUUAUGAAUAAGGAUCGGCUAACUCCGUGCCAGCAGCCGCGGUAAUACGGAGGAUCCGAGCGUUAUCCGGAUUUAUUGGGUUUAAAGGGAGCGUAGAUGGGUUGUUAAGUCAGUUGUGAAAGUUUGCGGCUCAACCGUAAAAUUGCAAUUGAUACUGGCAGCGUAGAGUACAGUUGAGGUAGGCGGGAGUCGUGGUGUAGCGGUGAAAUGCUUAGAUAUCACGAAGAACUCCGAUUGCGAAGGCAGCUUACUAAACUGCCACUGACAUUGAUGCUCGAAAGUGUGGGUAUCAAACAGGAGUAGAUACGCGUAGUC
rnacentral:rRNA from 1 species